rnacentral:rRNA from 1 species
CGGAGGGGGCUAGCGUUGUUCGGAAUUACUGGGCGUAAAGCGUGCGUAGGCGGCCUUUCAAGUUGGGUGUGAAAGCCCGGGGCUUAACCCCGGAAAUGCGCCCAAGACUGUUUGGCUAGAGACCGGGAGAGGUGAGUGGAACUCCCAGUGUAGAGGUGAAAUUCGUAGAUAUUGGGAAGAACACCAGUGGCGAAGGCGGCUCACUGGACCGGUACUGACGCUGAGGCACGAAAGCGUGGGGAGCAAACAGGAUUAGAUACCCUGGUAGUCCACGCCGUAAACUAUGAGAGCUAGACGUUGGGGGGCUUGCCCCCCUGUGUCGCAGCUAACGCGUGAAGCUCUCCGCCUGGGGAGUACGGCCGCAAGGUUA